AUUAUGUUUAAAUACUUUUUAUUCUAUAUGUGCAUUAAGGUUUGAAACAUGUGCCAACACAGAUCAUGACAGGAAAGGCCACACUAAGGCAGUAAUACCACAGCAAUAAUAUUUCUGCUGAGUCCCAUCACUGACGCCAUGUUUCACAGGAAGAAUAACAGGUCAAGCUGUGAGUAAAAAAUGGUAAUAAAUAUUUUCACUUAUACUGCAAAUUCAUAUCUAAAAAAAAAACACAGGCAAAGAAUAGAUUUCCAAACAAUUAGAGAUUUGUCUGAGCUUUUGGGCGAAAGCACAUUUGUUCAGAAAAACAAACAAACAUUUGGUUUCAUUUGAGCUGCAACAACACAUUUCACAUUUGCAGCCCGACUUCUACGUCUUUACAGCUUCAGUUACAUUUAAGGCAAACUUAACGUGAGGUGUGUCCAUUUGACAGAUAUGAUUAACAACAGAAUGCGCAUAAAGAUUUGAUGUAAAGUCCGGUCUCUCAAAUCCGUGUUGGGUUCCUGGACGCACCGGUACCCCGGACGCAUCUUCAAACCGAUAGCGGAGGAUUCCAGAUGGCUUUUUUUGAGCUGAUUAAACUUCGAUUUCAACAUUCCUUCCAAAAGCGAAACGUUUGUCCAAAGAGUAACUGUUUGCUCUGUGCACGAGUCUGACAGAAAUACUCUAAUCACUAGCUGUCACCUGAACAUCCAACAUUAUCUUACUUUCUUUCUUGUUCUGGGGAGAACAAAAAGUAAGUUGACCUUGAGUGAAGAUUGUCCUCUAUCAGAUUCUUUGCCUUCAAUACAUUUCUGGAACUGACGAUACAAUUAGCUUGACGUCAGGGUCUAUUAACAUCACCAUCAACACAAACUAAACAGGCACAUUUAAUAUCCAUACUUGCAUCUUUAAGUAUACAUAUGUACUACAUACAAUACAACGUAGGAUGGAGCUGGGCCACAGCUCCCUCAAUGCACGUGUUGGCUCAGAAAAGCACAAUGUUCCUCGAGCAGCGAAGAUGCCAAACGAGGCUAUCCAGAGGACGCUACUCGUCACGUGCAUGAUGAACCGCCGCUUUGAGCCUUUUCUGGUGCGGAUACAUUCGUUUCCAGCGAUACGCGUCGCUGUGAGCCGCGUGCACUGUGAGCCGCGUGCACUGUGCCCUUGCAGCAGAAUAAAUGGCCUUUGAUUGCACUUGAGCUCUACGCGUUUCAGCAGCUGUGCACCAAGGCCUUGACAAAUCAAACCUUUGUGGUUGCCUAAUUCGCGGGGAAACCAAGCAGCUCACCGCUCGGGGCGUCAGAGGUCUUUGGUGUGGAGUGCACCGCCGGCAUCAACUGAUCUCAUUGGGCAGUCAAAUAGCACAUGACCUAUCUUACUAGUGGAUAAAACAAUAACUUACAAUAUAAAAAAGGGUUGGUUUUUGAGGGAUCUUCUGUUUCUUAGUUUGCUAUUUAUUUUUAAUGAAUAAGAAUUUUUUUAAAAAGUCCCUGAAUGAAAAUGGAGAACUGCACAUUUUCCUUUCUAACUGUUCAUUCAGUGGCAUUCGACGUCAGGCAUCUCCGUGCAAACAAAAAAUAAGAAAGGGGAGGGGUUUAAAAAGGGGGAAAAACCCCCCCCCCCG
ensembl:lncRNA